rnacentral:rRNA from 1 species
GACAGAGGUUGCAAACGUUGUUCGGAAUCACUGGGCAUAAAGCGCACGUAGGCGGUCUGUUAAGUCAGGUGUGAAAGCCCCCCGGCUCAACCGGGGAAUUGCAUUUGAUACUGGCAGGCUCGAGAACGGUAGGGGUGAGUGGAACUCCAGGUGGAGCGGUGAAAUGCGUAGAUAUCUGGAGGAACACCGGUGGCGAAAGCGGCUCACUGGACCGUCACUGACGUUGAGGUGCGAAAGCAUGGGGAGCGAACAGG